rnacentral:tRNA from 1 species
GCUGUACUCGUCUAGGGGUCAGGACACCAGUUUGUGGCACUGGAAACCGAGGUUCGAGUCCUCGGUACAGCA